UGGGGAAUAUUGCACAAUGGGGGAAACCCUGAUGCAGCGACGCCGCGUGGAGGAAGAAGGUUUUCGGAUUGUAAACUCCUGUCGUUAGGGACGAUAAUGACGGUACCUAACAAGAAAGCACCGGCUAACUACGUGCCAGCAGCCGCGGUAAAACGUAGGGUGCAAGCGUUGUCCGGAAUUACUGGGUGUAAAGGGAGCGCAGGCGGACCGGCAAGUUGGAAGUGAAAACUAUGGGCUCAACCCAUAAAUUGCUUUCAAAACUGCUGGCCUUGAGUAGUGCAGAGGUAGGUGAAAUUCCCGGUGUAGCGGUGGAAUGCGUAGAUAUCGGGAGGAACACCAGUGGCGAAGGCGACCUACUGGGCACCAACUGACGCUGAGGCUCGAAAGCAUGGGUAGCAAACAGGAUUAGAUACCCUGGUAGUCCAUGCCGUAAACGAUGAUUACUAGGUGUUGGAGGAUUGACCCCUUCAGUGCCGCAGUUAACACAAUAAGUAAUCCACCUGGGGAGUACGACCGCAAGGUUGAAACUCAAAGGAAUUGACGGGGGCCCGCACAAGCAGUGGAGUAUGUGGUUUAAUUCGAAGCAACGCGAAGAACCUUACCAGGUCUUGACAUCCGAUGCAUAGCUUAGAGAUAAGUGAAGUCCUUCGGGACAUCGAGACAGGUGGUGCAUGGUUGUCGUCAGCUCGUGUCGUGAGAUGUUGGGUUAAGUCCCGCAACGAGCGCAACCCUUAUUGCCAGUUACUACGAAAGAGGACUCUGGCGAGACUGCCGUUGACAAAACGGAGGAAGGUGGGGAUGACGUCAAAUCAUCAUGCCCUUUAUGACCUGGGCUACACACGUACUACAAUGGCGUUUAACAAAGAGAAGCAAGACCGCGAGGUGGAGCAAAACUCAAAAACAACGUCUCAGUUCAGAUUGCAGGCUGCAACUCGCCUGCAUGAAGUCGGAAUUGCUAGUAAUCGCGGAUCAGCAUGCCGCGGUGAAUACGUUCCC
rnacentral:rRNA from 1 species